GCGAGACAGGGGGACCCGUGACCAGGCGCGACCGAUAAACUGUUCCACGGACGGUGUGCGGUGCAGCCCCUGCCGUCCGCCAAUGAUCAGCCAGCAGCCGCUGCAACCACAGGGAG
rfam:Streptomyces sp. H-KF8 tig00000139, whole genome shotgun sequence.